GCAUUGUGGGAAGCCCCGCACACGGGAAGCGCUCCGCGGCGCCCGCCCUCGUCUGGCGCAGAGACCUGGCUGGAAAGACACAGCGUGGCUUCGAUUCCGGCGCCUGCGUGUCACCAGCCCAGGGUGGCCGUGGAAGCUGGACCCGAGCCGCAGGCCCCCCAGGCUGGGCCUGGGAGGAAAGCGGUUUGAAAAAGAUCGGAACUGAGGAACUCUCUUAGAGCGGGGGACUCCCUGCUCCUACAGCCUUAACCAAUGCCCAGCGCUUGGAAAGUGGAGGACUCGGGGAUUCGGGAGCGUUUCAGGCCUGGGGAAAUGGAAGGGUCGGGGACCUAGGUGAAAGGUUAUUUGCCAGAAAUGUCUUGGCUUUUUCAUUUAUUCUGUCUUACCUAGCCCUUCGCCGCCACCUCCAGUCGUUGGCCUCUUACCACCUUCAAAUGCCACCUUUUCCGGAAGAUGUAGCCCUGCGCCCUUGAAACUGGCAAACCCUAUUAGUGUCUGCAAGCUGAGAUGCAGGGUGUGGGCAUAGACACAGAUCAAGAGAUCCGGCCCUGGACCCUCUUGGGCAGAACCUUGCCCUUCUCAUUUCACCUGAAGCCCAAACUUUGUAUGGCAAAGACUUGGUAAUGAUCUCUAUAGAGCUAGGAUUACACAGUUGUCUCAUCCUUUGGGGGCCCUUUAGCCAAACUGUGACCUCCUUAAUGGUGCCUUCGUCAGCUAACAUUAGGCGCCCUGAGGUGCUUCUGCAUACUGCCAUCGUUUACAAUUACUCAUCUUUGUGUACACACCCUAGCACAAGGUCAGCCAUAUAACAUAAAAGAUGCUCAGUGAAUGUUGAGUAAUUGUGAGCAUCUGGAACUUGCCGUGGGAUAAAACGCGUUCAUUGGGAUUUCUUCAUAAUAAUAUGAAGAUUCCAUUUAGCGCCUCUCUGCAAUACUUAAACGUAACCUUUGAGGGGAGAGGGAAAAGAAAAGGCAUGAAAAUAUCUAUAGAGCCAUUUCUGGUGUUCUCCUUCCCUUUUCCACACCCGCCUUCCCACCCCUUGCCAACUAAAUGUUCAUUUGAAUAGUGCUUUUUGGCAAAAUUCCAAACUCCUGCAUUAUGCACUUGUGAUGACACUGAAUUAGAUUAGUGUCUGCAAGGUUAAUGUUCCCUCAGGCAUUAACCUUAGUAAAUCGUGAUGCCUGUUUAGAAAUAGCUAAGGCCCAGAGGUUCAGCUUAAUUUAGACACAGGUAACUAAGAGCAAGAGUAAACCACAGCUCCACAAUCAACUCUCUCUGUGUGCUUUCUCCAUUAAAAAAUAUAAAUUUUAA
ensembl:lncRNA novel transcript